rnacentral:rRNA from 1 species
UACGUAGGGGGCAAGCGUUGUUCGGAAUUACUGGGCGUAAAGGGCGCGUAGGCGGCACGACAAGUCGGGAGUGAAAGCCCGGGGCUCAACCCCGGAAUGUCUCUCGAAACUGUCGAGCUAGAGUGCAGAAGAGGCAACUGGAAUUCCCAGUGUAGCGGUGAAAUGCGUAGAUAUCUGGAGGAACACCGGUGGCGAAGGCGGCAUCCUGGACCAACACUGACACUGAUGAGCGAAAGCCAGGGGAGCAAACGGG